rnacentral:tRNA from 1 species
GGGCCUGUAGCUCAGCCUGGUUAGAGCGACGGUCUUAUAAGCCGUAGGUCCUGAGUUCAAGAAACUGAGAUUCUCAGCAGGCCCA